rnacentral:rRNA from 1 species
GACGAACGCUGGCGGCGUGCCUAACACAUGCAAGUCGAACGGAGCAGAUCCCUUCGGGGGUUUGCUUAGUGGCGAACGGGUGAGUAACGCGUGAGGAACCUGCCUUUCAGUGGGGGACAACAGUUGGAAACGACUGCUAAUACCGCAUAAUGCUUUUGAGCGGCAUCGCUUGAAAGCCAAAGAUUUAUCGCUGAAAGAUGGUCUCGCGUCUGAUUAGCUAGUUGGUGAGGUAACGGCCCACCAAGGCGACGAUCGGUAGCCGACCUGAGAGGGUGAUCGGCCACAUUGGAACUGAGAGACGGUCCAA